GUAGUAUUCCCUCCGUCCCAAAAUUCUUGUCUUACAUUUGUUUAGAUACGGAUGUAUCUAACACUAAAAUGUAACUAGAUACAUCCGUAUUUAGAAAAAUUUAAGACAAGAAUUUUGGGACGGAUGGAGUACAAA
rnacentral:pre_miRNA from 1 species